UUCAAACCAUCAGUGGAAUCAACUGGGAUCAGCAUAGAAUCACCGCGGAGAGACGCCUCUGCACCGACCAAGAGAGGACGGCACCUGAGGAGUGGAGCCCUCAUCCCGGCUGAGUUUCGUCCUCCGGCAAAACCCGGGCACUUUCUGAAACUUCCUGGUACGGAAGACACGCACUCGCGUCCACAGACACAGGAAGCCUGCGUUGGUCUACAUUUGCUUAAGGAAAAGGCAAACUUCGUUGACCACUGUCCUGAGCAAAGCCCCCCCUUCCCCACGAGCCCCAAGCGACCAGCGUUCCGAGGUCGCGCCUUGAACCCGCCCUGCAGGCCGGUGGAGUUAGGUCCCCUGCGCACGAUUCCUGCGAGGCGAGCUCCACACAGCGUUCGCGGCGCGCAACGUCUCCACUGCGCGCGGCCUCCUGCGGCUCGAGCCCGGGGCUCCCCCGCCCGGGCAGGGAAGGGGGCGCAGCGCGGCCAAACAGCUCAAAGUGCAAGGAAAACACGGACUUUGCUUACUCUCCCCACACCCCUGCGGGAGCCUGGGCCGUGGGCGGCGCGAGAGCACUGCCCCGGGAACGCAGCCUCCCGAGGCUCCCGGCUGGCCGAGCCGUUUCACGCGACUCCCCGAGCACUGCCACUCACACGAACCGCGUCCGGCUGGAUCCUCUUAGCUGCUCUGCAACGAUUCCGAUCCAGUUCAGCAGCGUUUAAAGCAUUAGGAAACUCGUUCAGGGCCACUGAAAAGUCAGGAGAGGCUCACAUCUCAUCUCCCACGGAUUCCUACCUCCAGGGUCAGAUAAUGCCCGGAAACGUUGCCACCAAACAAGUCUGAGAGUAUUAUUUUGGAGAAACCGUUAACCCCUACCAAAAUACAAAGCGCCAGAGGAAAGCAGGUGAGACUCGAAGACAAGGAAGCCCUUUGCGUUCGCUGGUGGAGGAAAGUGCGAUCUGCGGACGGGCUGGGGGGCCCCGGUCCUUCUACUUCAGCACCGGAGGGGAUGGACAGCGUCUCCGGACCGGGCUGCAGCCACAGGGACGGACCUGCGCUGCCCUUGCCGCCACUGUCGUCGCCACGGGCGUCUGGGCUCCCUGCUCCUCGCAGCUAAAAGGCGGUGCCUCCUGAUACCCCCUGGUCCCCCCCCCCCCCACUUUCCUUGAUAGACGAAAAGUAACCUUUCUCAUCCACCUGCUAAACUACAAUCCAGGGCUCUGAGGAGUCCUCUGGUUCUGCAGAUUAAACUCCCAGCAACAACUUCAAGAAUAAUUCUCCGUAGGGGGCUGGGAGGAAUGCACCCAGAAGAGUGAGGCUGAAGUUCUUAGAGGCUCUGAAAAAUCAUGGGCUCCGCAGAAGGGGUCGGAAUGCUCAAAGGCCCACACUUCAUGAUAUAAACAGAAUGCUCACCAGAGGGUUGCAACUGUUUUGGAAACAGCUUUGUGAGAGGAGGUUCCAGAUCUAGUCACAUCCCUACGUUAGAGAAACUGAAAGACUUCUAAUUCCUUUACUUGGAUG
rnacentral:lncRNA from 1 species